rnacentral:sRNA from 1 species
UUCUCAUCACGGAUCUGUGCCCAGCGGUCCCUUGCUUCUACGGAAGUCCAAGGUCGACUGCUGUGCAGCUCGAUAACUCUAUGGAGCCAUCAACUUGUUAUGGUGUCAAUCAUCCUAUCGACAGGUCCAAAAAUGACUCGACAUUCGAGCCUUCGGGCUCAUGUUGAAAGGCACUAUAUUCCACCCCUUUUUUCCGAGACCGUCGGUCCGUGAGGUUGAGGUAAACCAUGCUGCCUAUAUUU